UUGAAUGUCGCGGUUGCACACAUUUGUACGGAAUGGGGUGAGUUUACGUUACUUGCUCGUGCUAGUUUUAGAGAAAACUGCUGUGGAAAACUCGGCUUGAAGCUAGCAAGUGUCAAGUGAAUCCACAACAUCACCAAAAACGUAUUUUCAAGCCAGGGUUCGUGAUUGUCGACAGGUGGACAGCGACAGCGACUUCGAAGAGGAAACAACUGUCCUGGAUGAGGUCCAGUUGGAUGUGCCAUUGGAUGAUGUGCCAGAUGUUCCACAGCUGCCAGUCCUCCUUGAUGUCCAGAAUGCUGCUAUCAUCCUUGAGGAUGUGCCAGAUGUGCAGACUAUCCUUGAGCACUACUAUCCUAAUCUGUAUUUUUGUGCGCCGAUUUGCCGUUUUUUUUGUUUUUUUUUACACCUUUAUUUAAUCUUUAUUUAACUAGGCAAGUCAGUUAAGAACACAUUCUUAUUUUCAAUGACGGCCUAGGAACG